ACCUACUGCUUAUGCUGUUUACACUUACAGAGUCAUGGUGGUUCUCUCUGCAAAACUAAGGUGUGUAUUUAUUCUUAUGCCCCCUUGCUUUGAGGGACUAUAGUUUUGGCAGUUGAGUAUAUGUUUUUGUCUGGAUGAUUUCUGUAAAAAUAAGUCAUUUUUGAUUUUUACAGGCCAAUAUCUCAGUAGAAAGCUGUGUUGUACUACGAGAGAGAUGCCAUUUUCUCUAGAUGUGUACAGCAUGCCAUAGCUUUUCAGUUUGCCAUGGGAGAGAUCUUCAGGAGUUUUUCAGUCUCUUUGUUUCUCAGACAUAUUCAUACAGAAUCUACCAAGAGGAAGAGAUGAUUGUUUAUAGAAAGUUUACUUUGUCUUAUUUUCCAUUACUGAUGAACAGCCUUUUAUAUCUUUCCAUACCACUUAAGCAAAUUUUUCCUUACUACAUUUUGCCACAAGAACAUUCAUCUGUCGCUUAACAGUUUUGACUCCUGACCUUGUCAUGGUCAGGCUAACACCACCUACACACACACUCAUACAAGUACUCUUCACCUCUCAGAAGAUAUUUGCCACAUGGUUUGAGAGGAGAGGUCAUCCUUUCUCAAGGGGCUGCAUUGCCAGCAUCGUAGUUUGGGUCACCUGUCCAUUGACUCCCAAAUCUCUCUGUAGCUAUAUUCCUGUUUCCCACACCCUUAUGUCCCCUUGAUUGGCUGGUUGCACAACCCACCUCAUCAAGGGCUCCAGGUUCUGUGGCAGAACCAGAGGAAGUAGGUUCGCUCCAUUGCAACCAUGGCAACACUUUUCAAAGAUGCAGCCUACAGUCCUUGUGAGUCUUCCAGUUUUCCAUGGCAGCCUCGUUUCUCAGAGGCUACAUCUACUCCAGGAAUAAGUAUAUUGCAAAACACGCUAUUGCUUAUGUAAAACAGAACACCUCCUAAGCCGUCGUUUACUAAACAAUCUCUGGCUUCUGAUCUCACGCUACACAAGAAGGUAAAUUGUAUUCUGUGUGAGAAGCUUUAAACGUGAGCGUAAUGGAAAGGGGAUAUUCAGGGAAACGAAGACACACCUCCAGAAACAACAAAGACACAAACCUGUGUGGCAGAGUUUGUUGAACGGAGUAGGACAAUUCUGCUCUGAAACAAUGGAAUGCUCUUCUGAGAGAUCAGCUUCCAAAGAACACUCACCUGCUGAGGAUUUGCUGACUCAGAGCUCUGCAAAACCUACCUGAUCAAGCACCAUCCGUAUCCAGCUCAGAAAAAAAGGAGUGAUCAGUUCCACUCAUGACUCACACAAGAGACAGUAUUACAGACUUCAGCUCUGGGAUUUACUGACAUGCACCUUCCUGACAUGAAGGCUGAAAAAAUGAUAGUUUCAGUUGUGAGCUGUGUUAUUGGUGAACAGAAGACUUCUCCAGCAUUUCCAUUUAUGAUUUCUAGGAUUAAUUCAAGCUUCCAGUACACCUUGGAACUAUGUCCAUCCCUAGAAAUUACUUCAGAUUUCAAAAUAUAGUUUUACAAAAUAGUUGCUUGUCUGUGUUUUUGUCAAGAAAUAGGAAGCAAUCAAAAUGGUUAAGUGAUAUGCAAAAAGCUCUCUAACCUUCAAAUUGUAGGACUUCAAAGAUAUCUUUGAAAGAGGACACUUAGCAAUGAGGAAAGUGUAUAUGCAUCUCAAAAAACUUGUUAACGGUAAAUUGAAAGACUUCACUAAAACAUCCUUUUACAGUAGCUUUCCUAUGGCUGUACAAAAAUACAGACACCCAUGCACAUACAGGGGAAGGGAGAAAUCACAGUGCAAUUUGGGGAGUUCAAUUACUCAUUCCAGUACAUUGAAUUCACAAUUUUAUCAUAAAGUAAUAUGGUUUUGUAGCAUUUCAUUCCUCACCAGUGUUUCACAAUGUCUUCAAAUGAGAUAAAUCUGUAGGAAUGUUUUUCUAGUUUCUCAGCAUGUUUCAGGUAGAUUUUUGGAGUGAAGUAAAAAGGUGAAAAUAUAUUUUCUGCUGUACACAUGUAAGUGCAAAAUCAGCUUUUCUCUCAAGCACUACAAAUAAUCAUGAACAGCUCAAAAUCUCAUCAAUGGGCAUGGGUUGUCCGUUUCAAAAAAAGCUGGAAUGAAGGAGGAAGAAAUGACUUGGGGAGAAAUGGUUUAUGUUAUUUUGGUUUUUAUUUUAUUGCUAGAAACUGCUGUCUCUUUACAUUUUCUUCUCUUGAAAAAGAGGUUGCGCUCAGUGACUAAAUCUGUCCUCUCAAGGGAGCAUGCAUUACUACUGCAGCAGCAGAAGGGGAGGCAGCCCAAGCCCAGAGUUUGUCUCAGAGACUAAUCAGCUCUUUUCUUAAUAUCAAGAACUCAAUUCCAACUUCUUGUUUUAUUGCUGCCUUAUAACAAGGAAAAGGAAAAAUAAAUGAAGUUACAAGAACUGAAUGAUAAAUUAAGCAUAUAAAGUCAAGACAGAGAGAAUUAAUUACUUAUUUAAAGAUUUGCUCAGCUCUAAGCACCAGUGUUCAUGCUGACUUCUUGUGCUGUUUUAACCUUCUCUGCUGUGAUUCCAGGCUCGUGGCUUUGGAAUUUCUAUAGUAUUUUUUGUUUUCCUUAAGAUGUGGUUACAACAGCCAUUCUUUCUUGGCACAGAAACUUCCAUUGGUCUUAGUCCUUUAGUUUUGACGUUUUGUCUUUUCUUUUGCUCACCUUUCCUGCCACUGUAGAAGCUUGGCAGGGCAGCGCGCAGGUGAUUUAUAGACAGGUUUGGAUUCUUCUAUACUUCCUUUAUUAAAUGGAGCAAGAUAUUUAAUUACUUCAUCAUAACUGGCUUGGAUGCAGCCUUCAUCAUUAAAGUUUGUCAGCUGUCCACAUCUGGAGGAGUACUCUAAUGGUAUUGCUUCUCAAGUCUGCCAGCCCAUGUCCUAUUAUUCAGGGGCCUUAUGUCUCUGUGCCAUUUCCUCCCCUCUGCUCCAUCAAAGCUAGAAUGUGAACACAUUCAUGUUCUCACUUGCAUUUCCCUCAAAGGGGUAUUUCCCAGUUGAGAAGGGGCCAAGAAACACAGUACAGCUAGAACUAUAUUAUCUUCAUGGAGCUGAAGUGCACAGAAGAAAAAGGAACUCUGAAAAUUGCAGAGUCUGGGGCAGUGCCCCAAAAUAGAAAAGAAAAUGUUAAAAUACAUUGUAGAGAUAGACUCUCCUGGAAAGAGGCAUGAAGCCAAAUAUAAGGGAUUGGUAAGUGAACACUGCCCACCUCCCAGUCCAUAAGCAUUUCAUUUAGCUACAAAAGCUGUGGCACCCAAGCAGGGUAUGAGUUGAAACAAAUAAAAGCCAAGCCUUUGUCCAGGAAUGAUCAGAUAUUUUCAUUAGCUUAGUGUCGUCUGUGCUCAGUGACACAUGCAUGAAUGUAGUCACAGAUCUGGAGACCUGAAAACUUAGUCAAGUUCUCAGGCUUCUGGUUCAGGCAUUUAUGUGAGUGACUUUGACUGAGAAGUCUUUCAGUCUUUUUGUUUUGGUUUGGUUUAUUUAUUUUUGAUUUGAUUUGAUUAGUUUUGUUUUGUUUGUCUAUUGGAUUUUUUGGUGGUGCUGGAGAGAUUAGAAAUACCUUCCACUUCACUGUUCUUCUUGUGGUUUAGUAGUCAAACUUCCAUUAUUAGGUAGAACAUUUAAGUGGGAGAGUGGCUGAAGCAACGAGACAAAAUCUGGAUUUUAAAAAAUCCCUCUAAGGACAGCGGGUAGAAUGGGUGGUCAGUUCUAACAAACACUGACAGCCAGACCUCUGUAUGCUGUCUCUUUUACCAUCUAUAUGCAUCACUCUCAUAAACUGGGUCUAGAUAGCUGUGAUGAUAGCUGGGCAGCCCAUUUCACAAGUAUAGAAAUCACAGCUAUUUAACAAGUGCAUUUUCUAAGAGUCAGCAUGGAGCUUGCAUGGGUAAAGUGCAAUCUAUGUCACACAUUCCUGCUAAUGACCUAAAGGACUAUGCUCUCACAGCAGAAGAAGGGAAAAUUAAUCUUCACCACAAUUGUUCCAUUUCUCAAACUUCUUUUUAGCAAAGAUAUAAAUUGUGCCAAAUAUCUAUCAGUUUUAUGAUGACAAGACCAUCAAACUUGUUUCAUUAAACACCCUCCCCCCCCUUACAACUGUCUAAACAAGAUUUUUCCAUUUAGUGCCCUAUCAAUCCAGAGUUAUGAUUAUUCAGUAACUGAGGGGAUCUCUUGUAUUUAAAUAUUAAUGUUUGUGUAGUUAUUAAAGUAUUUGAUGAUUUGUCCAGGGGCACUGUAAAAUUAAAUAUAGCAUGUCAUUUAUGGUAA